rnacentral:rRNA from 1 species
GACGAACGCUGUCGGCGUGCUUAACACAUGCAAGUCGAACGGAAAGGCCCUGCUUUUGUGGGGUGCUCGAGUGGCGAACGGGUGAGUAACACGUGAGUAACCUGCCCUUGACUUUGGGAUAACUUCAGGAAACUGGGGCUAAUACCGGAUAGGAGCUCCUGCUGCAUGGUGGGGGUUGGAAAGUUUCGGCGGUUGGGGAUGGACUCGCGGCUUAUCAGCUUGUUGGUGGGGUAGUGGCUUACCAAGGCUUUGACGGGUAGCCGGCCUGAGAGGGUGACCGGCCACAUUGGGACUGAGAUACGGCCCAGACUCCUACGGGAGGCAGCAGUGGGGAAUAUUGCACAAUGGGCGGAAGCCUGAUGCAGCAACGCCGCGUGCGGGAUGACGGCCUUCGGGUUGUAAACCGCUUUCGCCUGUGACGAAGCGUGAGUGACGGUAAUGGGUAAAGAAGCACCGGCUAACUACGUGCCAGCAGCCGCGGUGAUACGUAGGGUGCGAGCGUUGUCCGGAUUUAUUGGGCGUAAAGGGCUCGUAGGUGGUUGAUCGCGUCGGAAGUGUAAUCUUGGGGCUUAACCCUGAGCGUGCUUUCGAUACGGGUUGACUUGAGGAAGGUAGGGGAGAAUGGAAUUCCUGGUGGAGCGGUGGAAUGCGCAGAUAUCAGGAGGAACACCAGUGGCGAAGGCGGUUCUCUGGGCCUUUCCUGACGCUGAGGAGCGAAAGCGUGGGGAGCGAACAGGCUUAGAUACCCUGGUAGUCCACGCUGUAAACGGUGGGUACUAGGUGUGGGGUCCAUUCCACGGGUUCCGUGCCGUAGCUAACGCUUUAAGUACCCCGCCUGGGGAGUACGGCCGCAAGGCUAAAACUCAAAGGAAUUGACGGGGUCCCGCACAAGCGGCGGAGCAUGCGGAUUAAUUCGAUGCAACGCGUAGAACCUUACCUGGGUUUGACAUGGAUCGGGAGUGCUCAGAGAUGGGUGUGCCUCUUUUGGGGUCGGUUCACAGGUGGUGCAUGGCUGUCGUCAGCUCGUGUCGUGAGAUGUUGGGUUAAGUCCCGCAACGAGCGCAACCCUUGUUCACUGUUGCCAGCACGUUAUGGUGGGGACUCAGUGGAGACCGCCGGGGUCAACUCGGAGGAAGGUGGGGAUGACGUCAAGUCAUCAUGCCCCUUAUGUCCAGGGCUUCACGCAUGCUACAAUGGCUGGUACAGAGAGUGGCGAGCCUGUGAGGGUGAGCGAAUCUCGGAAAGCCGGUCUCAGUUCGGAUUGGGGUCUGCAACUCGACCUCAUGAAGUCGGAGUCGCUAGUAAUCGCAGAUCAGCAACGCUGCGGUGAAUACGUUCCCGGG